rnacentral:rRNA from 1 species
GAUGAACGCUGGCGGCGUGCCUAAUACAUGCAAGUCGAGCGAACAGACGAGGAGCUUGCUCCUCUGACGUUAGCGGCGGACGGGUGAGUAACACGUGGAUAACCUACCUAUAAGACUGGGAUAACUUCGGGAAACCGGAGCUCAUACCGGAUAAUAUAUUGAACCGCAUGGUUCAAUAGUGAAAGACGGUUUUGCUGUCACUUAUAGAUGGAUCCGCGCCGCAUUAGCUAGUUGGUAAGGUAACGGCUUACCAAGGCGACGAUGCGUAGCCGACCUGAGAGGGUGAUCGGCCACACUGGAACUGAGACACGGUCCAGACUCCUACGGGAGGCAGCAGUAGGGAAUCUUCCGCAAUGGGCGAAAGCCUGACGGAGCAACGCCGCGUGAGUGAUGAAGGUCUUCGGAUCGUAAAACUCUGUUAUUAGGGAAGAACAAAUGUGUAAGUAACUAUGCACGUCUUGACGGUACCUAAUCAGAAAGCCACGGCUAACUACGUG